ensembl:snRNA U2 U2 spliceosomal RNA
AUCCUUUUUCUGAUCCAGACGAGAAAAAAAAAAAAAAAAAAAAAAAAAAAAAAAAAAAAAAUCUGUUCUUAUCAGUUUAAUAUCUGAUACGUCCCCUACCCGGGGACCAUAUAUUAAAUUGAUUUUUGGAGCAGGGAGAUGGAAUAGGGGCUUGCUCCGUCCACUCCACGCAUCGACCCGGUAUUGCAGUACCUCCGGGAGCGGUGCACCCCCU